UACGCACGGUCAUAAUACUCGCCGCACGGCGCGUAUUGUUUACAUCGGCGCUGGCCUUGGCCUUGGCUCACCGUCUCCGUGCGCUCGGGCGCCCGCGUUAUCAUUCGCGCAGCGACGCUCGUGCCGGAGGGUAGUGGCGUGACGAGCUCCGUGUGUCGUAGCUUAAUAUUUUCUCGCGAUAAAGACACGAUUGCGGCGAUGAGUACAGAAGGUAAACGCAAGCAUUCCGACGAAUUAUUGAUGGUAAUCUCGCCACACGUUCAGUGGCUUCCACUCAUAAAUACGUUACGCGGUAAAAAGCGACGCGGAGGUUAAGUCAAUCGUUCGCGGAAUUCUUUUACGGAAAAACGAUGACUAUUGGCCACCUAUUGGUCACCUCUGACCGCCUGCAAUGCGUUGCUACGUUCAGUAGACAACGCAGUAGUAACAACUCAUUGUCGAGACGCGAUGCAGAAGCGUGUCGAGGUACCGGUGCUCUUUAUCAAGGCAGAUAUUUCGCGUGAUACUGCUCCAGGUCGAAAGGGUGAGAGAUGUAGCGAUUCUCGUAACGCAUUUGAAACUGUUUUUAUCGGUUUAAGUAAAUUGCGCUCGAUGUAAAUAGGAUUUUUUACUGGAUUUGCGAACCGCGGCGCGUGAAGUCCGAACCUAACCCUAACCAAAAACAGCACGACAAUAGGUGUGUUCCGUUUCAUGCGAGAUUCGCAUAACGCAUCAUGUAUCCUUGUUUAACAGUUGAACAACAAUGAUAAAUGAUGUAUCGAUCGCACGCAUUAUGCGUGAAACGUAACGCAUUCAGUGUCAGUCGUAUUGCUUGUAUCGUCUGCGUGUAAAUAGUAACGCAAAUAAUCCAUGUGGACAAUGAUCUUUACAAUUCUGUGCAUUUUACGAUUUCUUUGAGAUUCGUGCGUUCUGAUUGCAUUGCAUGCGAGACGCCAAAUUCCGAUUGCGUAUUCUCGAAUGAUCACUAGGAAGUUGGCGCUAUAUCACGCGGAGUGAAGUUGUCCGCGCGUCGCUACUCUCACGCUCGUCGCCCAUUACCGUUACGCGCUGUAAAACGCGUCGAGUGUCGAUUCGGAAUCAGUUUGGCUUCGAAGUGAUCAGUCACAGUCGUAAUUGGCUCAGGACUGCAAUUUUGUCGACCGUGCGACGCAAGUUUCGUACAUCAGCGAUUUGUCAGAGCCUACCACCGUUCAAUCUCGUCGGUAUCCGAAACGUGUCGCGUCGGUGUGUCGAGUGCGUUGUAAUGAAUCGUUCUAUCGUUCGUUUGAUUUCUCUGACAUUGCUUACUUCCAUCGCGAUAGAGGAUACUUUCCAUUUAGUUGGACAAGUCGACACGAACGACAUUUUAUCAUUCAAUGAAUAGUAAAAAUAGAAUGACGCUUGUGUCGCUAAAUAAAAAGUGCCCAUAACCUAAGUGUGCGUCUGGAAAAUACGUGGCGCGUCAUUAAUAUCGGCAGUGCUAAGUGAAGUGCGAUUGUCUUCUAAUUAGCGCGAGUGUCAGUUAGUCUUGGCUUCUAUGCGUGCGUUAUCGCGCGCGGCAAACAAGCGUUUCUGUGAGUCACUCCAUCAAAUGCGUGCAUUUUUCAACGUGCAUUGUAACGCGCGGCAACGUACACGCAUGGGAACCAGGAGUUAACCGAGUUUCUCCGCGAGUGCAAGGUGAUGCCGAGGGAAUCUGAGAGGAGGAGGAGGCCUGGGAGGCAUCAGGCCACGGCGGAGCAACCAUGAGAUCGACGUAGUUACUACAACUCCGCUGUUGCGCACCGUAUCGGUGAGUCAUAAAUAAUCUUUCAUUUAAUCCGAUGUAAUGAAUCUGUGAAUAUUAGAAAUUGUGUGUAUAUGUGGCGUGAUUCUCAUAGAUUCAUUGCCGUGAAAUGGAUGGGUUGGGAUUUAUUAGCGUAAAUAUUUAAUCUUGGAGGCUGUAUAAUUGUCUGCCGGAGGAAUUGUGUACGCAUAUCCCCUUUUGAUCGUUAACAAUUUAUUCAUAGAUUAUGAGAGUUUAUUGGCGCGUUUUAUAAAAAAAACAAUAUUAAAAAAUGUAAAUGUUAAACGUGAAGUAUAUUUUUGAUUAUUUUUACUAUCUAGCUCAAAGCUUGUUAUUAAAGUUCGCGAUAAUUAGAAAAGAUGGUAGAUAAAAAAAUUACAUGACGUAUUUACAUUUUAUUUAUUUUAACGUAGUUCAACUGGCAAUUUGAAGAUUUAAUACAAAUAAUAUUUUUAUAGAAUUUUUGUUUAGAAUAAUCUUCAGAAUAUGCUAUAAAAAGUAUUAUAGUGCAUACAAUAGCUGUAGGAUAUCAUAUGUGUGUAUGUUGAGUUUUUAUUUGAAUCACAACAUAAUUAGUGAACUCUUUACGAUUACGAUAAGUGUAUGGGGAGGGGGAGAAAGUUUCUUCGUUUCAUUAUUUGAAAAUUUUUCUUACCUCGUGUACGACUGUGUCUUCGGGGACCGGCGCUCCAUCUGAAACAAAGAACAGGUCUUUGUGAGAAAGGUUGCAUCGUGUACCGGUAAGCUCAUAUGCGACAUAUGCGCAACAUGGUUAAAUUGCGGGUACAGAUAUUUACGAUCCAGUUAUGCACCGUGGGCAAAGAGCGAGAUAUUUCUCGGGUGAAAAACAUGCAGCGCCAAGAAAAACAUGUAGGAGCGACUUCAAUGGUCGAUAUCGGGGAACUCGCAAUAAAAUAUGCGAUUUAUUAAUUGCAAUACAUUAAUGAUCACUCUGAAUAAUAGUGCGCGUAGAUCAUUGAAUCGGCCCCAUGCAGUGGCUGCUUAUUUAAUCGCGAUUUCGAAGGAGCUUCGUGGAACACCUUGAGAGAACGCUACAUAGAUUUAUUAUAUUGGCAGCCGCAGAAACAUACAGUACAUAAUAUACUACACAGAUCGAUUAUUCACACUUUCAUUUCUUAUGGAAUUAAGAAGCAUCUGAAUUUCGUUUAAUCGAUGCUCAUUUUUUUGCACGAGCUGCUCCAUAGCGAUGUCUAAAUUAUGGUGCAGUGCUUUUAGUGAUGCAUCUUAAUAUUUCGAAAUCUUGUCUCAAAAUUUCUUGUCUCGUUUAAGAUAAUAAUUUCGAGAUUAUUAUCUGUCAUUUGUUUUUUUCUCGUCUUGUCUCGUUAUUUCUCUUCGUGUCAUGUUAGUCAUAAGUAAUAUGCUAUCUCUUUAUAUAAUAAAAAAACAAAUGAGGUGAGAUAGUCGAUACACAGAAAAAAAUUAUUAUCAAAUCAACAAUUCGUUAUUUUAUAUGUAAGCAAGAAUAUAAUUUUGGAAGAAUUUAUUAUUUUAAAUAAACAUAUAAUAAUUUGCUCUCUUAUAUAAAGAAACAGAAUUUCUUCAUGAAACAAUGAAUGGUCGAUACUAAUUUUUUUUUGUGUAAUCUCGAAUAUUUCGAUAUAAAUUUCGAGAAUCUUAAAAAGCGAGAAUUUCAGUCCAUCGAAACGAGAAAAUUGUUUCAAUUUGUUUUAGUCGAAAAUAAUUCUUGGUAUUGGUAUUUUCUCGUCUCGCCUUGCUCGAAUGCAUCACUAAGUGCUUUAAGAAUGUUUUAGCCAUUUUUCUUAAAUUAUUUCUCUGCCGUAAACCCAAUAUCGACAGUCUCUCUCCAAUAAAAUGCUUUGCAACGCGAAAGGCGUACGGAAUGUAAAUUGGAAUCAAUGACUAUUUUUCUCGCUAAACCGGCUAUUCUUGUUUGUCCUUGAAACAAAGUAUUCAUCGAUUUUUAUAAGCAUAAAUCAUUUAAAUUAAAUUAGGUCCUCGUGUCUCGUAGAUUAUCACGUGUAGCGUUUAUUAAAAAAAAUGUGUUACGCAAGAGAUAAGAAAAAAAAAAAA